GCCGCUUCUCUGGGUCUGCAUCAUUGGAACGUGCGGAGCUGCUUUCAACAUGGGCGAGAAACUUUAAUCUAAGACAACAGGCCGAGCACCGGAAAGCAGGGACGAGGGCUACCAGCCAACUGGGUUCAACUCUCAGUCGCCAGAGUCGGGGGCGAUGCAGCAGGUUCCAGCGAGGACCAGUGACUAUGCAGGAAGGGGGCACCAGCUGGCCCGUGGGUGGAAGUGGGGUGGAGCCGAAUAACCAUGUGGCAUUUAUACGGCACUCAGCCCUAGGGGAUGGGGAGGAAAACAGCGCACGCUAAUGAUGCUAACAUAUCUGCAUUCCAGACAAAUGGGACGUUCAAAGGAAGCUGGGGGCCCGACUCCCUUAAACGCCUUUGAGAUCUCCAGGCUGCAUUCUUGCCACACCACAACGAAGCCGCCUAUUUUUGUAGGACCUACAGGAAAAGUCACACUUUGUACUGGUGUUGUCUUCAGUGCAGGAGGAGGGGGUUGGGCGGGGUUAGAAAACUCUUGAAAUCUGAUUCGUCCUUAACAAACAACACUCAGGGGUUUGUAUGGUCAGACGUUAGCUAAUGACCCCGGUGAGGGAGGAAAACAUGAUUCUCCCCAUUCUACAGAUGGGGAAAUCACCCGAAAGGCGAAGGGAUGUGCUCAACACCACACAGCAAGCAAGUAGGGUUGCCAGCUCUCCAGGAUUUUCCUGGCCUCUCCAGGAACUAAAGAUUAAUCUUGAAUUGAAGAUCACCUCCUGUGAUGAAAUCUCCAGGAAUACGUCCAAUCAGAAUUGGCAACCCUACAAGCAAGUGCUUCACUUCUAGCUCAGAAUUGCACUCAGGACUUCCUGCCUCCUAAGGGCAGACCUCUAUGCAUCCCUGCCUCUCCCAAAGAGACAGCAUUGCCUGGUGGUUAGGGCUCUAGCCUGGAACACCAGAGACGUACGUGCAAUUUUUUCCUCCCGGACGGACUUCCAGUGUGACUUCGGGCAAGUCUCUUAGGCCCAGGCCCUCGAAGCUAUUCAGGGGCCCAACUCCCAUUGAAAUAAAAUAAACGCCUAAUCAUAAUAAAAACCUGAUACCUC